CAGUGAGUGGGGGCAGGUGGGGAGGACAAUAGGUCCCCCCCACUGGUAUUUAGGGCCCCCACACGCCGGGGGUGGAGGACAAUAGGUCCCCCUCCCUCAUUCUCAUUUAGGGCCCCCAUCCGCCGCUCAGGAGUGGGGGCAGGGAAGAGGAUAAUAGGUUCCCUCUCUAAUUGUUUUUUAGGGCCCCCACCCGUCGCUUAGGGGUGGGGGCCAGGGGGACCCCACCCCCGCUCAGGG